AAGUCGUAACAAGGUCUCCGUAGGUGAACCUGCGGAGGGAUCAUUAACACUUCUCUGAGAGAAUAGACUUCACCGUCUACUUCGCUCUAUCCACUCGUGAACUUAACUUAUGCCCCGGUUGCACUAUUUUAUAGUGUAGCUAUCUAUUUUAUUGUUAUUAAACCCUUUUCCAACUGCUAACAGCUAUAUACAAUUCAUAUGAUACUAACGUAUUAUAUGUAUUAUUAGUUAAAAACUAAAAGCACAACUCUUAGCAACGGAUAUCUCGGUUCUC
rnacentral:misc_RNA from 1 species